CUAAUGUUAUUUAUUUUAACUAACUCCUUAAAUUAUCUUAGAUAAUCACUUAAUAAAUAAAUUUACUGAAGUUCUUUCAAUUACAAUUGGUAUAAAUCUGUGGUUUGCUCCACAGAUUUCUGAGCAUUGUCCAAAGAAUAAUCCAGGUCGAUUAAAUCAAGGAACAUUCACAAUAAAUCGACCUGGAUUAUUCUUUGGACAAUGCUCAGAAAUCUGUGGAGCAAACCACAGAUUUAUAACAAUUGUAAUUGAAAGAACUUCAGUAAAUUUAUUUAUUAAGUGAUUAUCUAAGAUAAUUUAA